CAGCCGUAAACCUUUAUUUACACCAAAAUCGCCAGGGAACUACGAGCCAAGCUUAAAACCCAAAGGACUUGACGGUACCCCACAUCCAUCUAGAGGAGCCUGUCCCAUAAUCGAUAAUCCACGUUUAACCUUACCAUUCUUAGCCAAGUCAGCCUGUAUACCUCCGUCGUCAGCUCACCCCGUGAGCGAAAAUUAGUGAGCUUAAUGUUUUUACACAGCACGUCAGGUCAAGGUGCAGCAAAUAGAGUGGAGAGAGAUGAGCUACACUUUCUACAUUAGAAGAAACGAAAAACUACCUAUGAAACCUAGUUGGAAGGCGGAUUUAGCAGUAAAAAGGAAUCAAUAUGUCCAUUUUAACCCGGCACUGGGGUGCGUACACACCGCCCGUCACCCU
rnacentral:rRNA from 1 species